rnacentral:rRNA from 1 species
CCAGACUCCUACGGGAGGCAGCAGUGGGGAAUAUUGGGCAAUGGGCGCAAGCCUGACCCAGCAACGCCGCGUGAAGGAAGAAGGCUUUCGGGUUGUAAACUUCUUUUGUCAGGGACGAAGCAAGUGACGGUACCUGACGAAUAAGCCACGGCUAGCUACGUGCCAGCAGCCGCGGUAAUACGUAGGUGGCAAGCGUUAUCCGGAUUUACUGGGUGUAAAGGGCGUGUAGGCGGGACUGCAAGUCAGAUGUGAAAACCACGGGCUCAACCUGUGGCCUGCAUUUGAAACUGUAGUUCUUGAGUACUGGAGAGGCAGACGGAAUUCCUAGUGUAGUGGUGAAAUGCGUAGAUAUUAGGAGGAACACCAGUGGCGAAGGCGGUCUGCUGGACAGCAACUGACGCUGAGGCGCGAAAGCGUGGGGAGCAAACAGGAUUAGAUACCCCAGUACC